CCUACGGGUGGCUGCAGUGGGGAAUUUUCCGCAAUGGGCGAAAGCCUGACGGAGCAAUACCGCGUGAGGGAGGAAGGCUCUUGGGUUGUAAACCUCUUUUCUCAAGGAAGAAUACUGACGGUACUUGAGGAAUCAGCAUCGGCUAACUCCGUGCCAGCAGCCGCGGUAAUACGGAGGAUGCAAGCGUUAUCCGGAAUGAUUGGGCGUAAAGCGUCCGCAGGUGGCUCGUCAAGUCUGCUGUCAAAGCACCCAGCUUAACUGGGGAAAGGCAGUGG
rnacentral:rRNA from 1 species